UACGUAGGGUGCAAGCGUUAAUCGGAAUUACUGGGCGUAAAGCGUGCGCAGGCGGUUUUGUAAGUCUGUCGUGAAAGCCCCGGGCUUAACCUGGGAAUUGCGAUGGAGACUGCAAGGCUGGAGUCUGGCAGAGGGGGGUAGAAUUCCACGUGUAGCAGUGAAAUGCGUAGAGAUGUGGAGGAACACCGAUGGCGAAGGCAGCCCCCUGGGUCAAGACUGACGCUCAUGCACGAAAGCGUGGGGAGCAAACAGG
rnacentral:rRNA from 1 species